GGAAGGAUCAUUCCACAUUCUCUGUGCUAGCUUUGGCUAGUACAACCCCCCUCAUACACGUGUUGUCUAGGAAGGUGUGUGGGACGUUGUUUCACGACGCGUUCUGCCCUUCCCGCAAUCCAAAAAUAUUUUUGUGGUGAACUUGUUGGAAACAUAUUGGUUGCCAAUAAGAUACAAAUGCCAAGACUUUUAGCAACGGAUACCUUGGCUCCCACAACGAUGAAGAACGCAGCGAAACGCGAUAACUAGUGCGAAUUGCAGAGUUCAGUGAAUCAUCGAGAUUUUGAACGCAUCUGGCGCCUUUGGGAUAUCCCUGAGGGCACACCUCUUUCAGUAUUGCCAAACCACCCAAGCCAUUGGCUUUUGGAAGUCUGAAAGUUACUGUUCUAUAUAGCAGCAUCUUUUGAAGGACUUGAUUCGGGUGUGGAUACCCUAAGUUACCUUGAAGUUAAUUCUCACAAGGUGGAUUCAGGAUUGUCCAUGAUAGCACCUACGAUUCAACCGUUACACGUUGAUCACUUUUUCAAUAUCCGAUCUGAGAUGAGGUGAGAUUACCCGCUGGAUUUAAGCAUAUAAUUAAGCGGAGGAAAAGAAACUAAACAGGAUUGCCCUAGUAACUGCGAGUGAAGCGGCAAUAGCUCAAGCCUAGAAUCCUUUUCAGUCUCUGGGAAGGAAUUGUGGUCUAGAGAGUUCUCGCCAGCGUGUGGCCCCAGCCUAAAUCUGCUGGAAAGCAGUGGCAGAGAGGGUGACACCCCCGUUCUCAGCCGGGAGCCCGCCGCGUACGGCAGAACCUCCAAGAGUCGGGUUGCUUGGGAGUGCAGCCUAAAGUGGGUGGUAAAUUCCAUCCAAAGCUAAAUACCUGUGGGAGACCGAUAGCGCACAAGUACCGUGAGGGAAAGGUGAAAAGGACUUUGAAAAGAGAGUCAAAAGUACUUGAAAUUGCUAAAAGCAAUCGAUAGGGACUAGUGCAUCGGUCGAUGACAAACACUGUUCGUGGAUGCAGGUAGUCUGGGGCGUCCUUGAAUGGGCGUUCGGAUGUGCAGCGUCCCGGGCUUUAAGUUUGCGUCGCGGGUCACCUGGAAUUGGGGCCGCGGGAUAAUGGGAUGGCGGUGGUAGGUGUGUGAGCGAUUACGCGAUCCCCGAAUACGUCUCCUGAUACCGUAGCCCUGAUUCACUCUGGUGACGAAAUGGUCUCUAUCGGCCCGUCUUGAAACACGGACCAAGGAGUCUAGCGUAUAUGCGAGUAUUUGGGUGGAAAACCCGAAUGCGGAAUGAAAGUGAAGGUGAGCUUCGGCUUGCUGAGAUGUUAACCCGUCAUAAGGGCGCAGCAUCGCCCGGCCUGUCCAUUGUGUUAGGUCCGAGGCCGAGCAUAUCCGUUAGGACCCGAAAGAUGGUGAACUAUACCUGAGCAGGGUGAAGCCAGGGGAAACUCUGGUGGAAGCUCGUAGCGAUACUGACGUGCAAAUCGUUCGUCGGACUUGGGUAUAGGGGCGAAAGACUAAUCGAACCAUCUAGUAGCUGGUUCCCUC
rnacentral:misc_RNA from 1 species